GACGAACGCUGGCGGCGUGCUUAACACAUGCAAGUCGAACGAAGAUAUGUUGAAAGCUUGCUGAUGCAUAUUUUAGUGGCGGACGGGUGAGUAACGCGUGAGGACUUGUCUAGUACAGGGGGACAACAGUUGGAAACGGCUGCUAAUACCCCAUAAGCCUAAGGGUACAAGGAGCAAUCCGGUACAUGAGAGACUCGCGUCCUAUCAGCUAGUAGGUGGGGUAACGGCCCACCUAGGCGAAGACGGGUAGCCGGCCUGAGAGGGCGAACGGCCACACUGGAACUGAGAGACGGUCCAGACUCCUACGGGAGGCAGCAGUGGGGAAUAUUGGGCAAUGGAGGGAACUCUGACCCAGCGACGCCGCGUGAGUGAAGAAAUCCCUCGGGAUGUAAAGCUCUGUUGUGUGGGAAGAUAAUGACGGUACCACACGAGGAAGCCCCGGCAAACUACGUGCCAGCCGCCGCCGUAA
rnacentral:rRNA from 1 species